ensembl:lncRNA
GUAUUGAAUGAUUUUUUGGUCUACUUUUAUAUAUAUAUAUAACUGUUCUUAAUCUAGAAGAAAUAUAAGCAUAACUUUUAGAUAUACUAUAUAAAUAUAUAUUUACAGAUAUAUAUAUGAUGUGUAGUUGAAGUAUUAAUUUACAUUUGAAUUAAUAUAUAUUACAUAAGAAUUUCAGGAAUGCUUGCCAUUCUCACUUAGCUUUAUACUGACCAAGAGACCUGAGAGGAUUUCUCAUGCCCAUUAAUUGCUGAUAUUCUAAACCACUCACUGAAGGCCUCGUUGGAGUCUGUGUUAGUUUCCUGUGGCCACUGUAAAAAUUACCACACAAUUGGUGGCUUAAACAACAUAAAUUUCUUCUCUUACAGUUUUGGAGGACAGAAGUCUAAAAUCAAGGUGGUAUGUUCUGAGGUUCAUGUCCCCCCAGAAUUCACAUGUUGAAACUCUGCCAUCUAAAGCGAUGGUAUUAUUUCCUCUGGAAGGUAAUUCCGGUCAGAUGAGGUCAUGGGUGGAGCCGCAUGAAUGGUGUUAGUGCUGUUGGAAGAACCAUGGGGACCCUCCUCUCCGUGAGAGGAUACAAUGUGAAGUCAGCAGGCUUCAACCCAGGAGAGGGUUUACACCAGAACCUGACCGUGCUAGCACCCUGAUUUUGGGCUUCCAGGCUCCAGAACUACGAGAAAUAAGUUUCUGUUGUUUUUAAUGUUGAAAGUUUAGCUAAACUGCUCCAUAUUGUUGCCUCAGCAUCCAUUUUGUGUGGUUACGUAGCCUCCAGGGGCCUUGAACUGCGUAGCCCCUCCCUAGAGCGCAUGCCUUAAAGAACAGCCUGCAGAGUCACAGGUGAGUCUAAUUUCCUGAUAAGCCCCUGGUAAUAAAUAGUCUCCCCUGAUUCCCAGCUCCUUCUCCUGGCUUGUGCCUUAGUGUGAUUUUGGUCCUCUUGGUUUCUCUGAUGCUGCUGGGGCUCCCAUUUGCCUGAAGGGGCAUUCCUGUGAGUCAGCAUCCUCUCUAAUCAACAUGUUGCAGAAAAGUGUUUACACACAACAUCCAGAGAAGAGGUGGGAUGCCUACCACAGCAUGGCAUGCCUAGCGGUGCCAUGUCCGCAGCCGGGAUCUGAACUGGCGAACCCUGGGUCUCUGAGAAGUGGAACAUGCGAACUUAACCACUGCACCACCGGGACUAUAAUUGUCUGGAGCAGAAGAGAAAAGAUUGAUGUCUGGAUGAGAACAAGAGAACUGAGAAGAUUAAAUUAUUUCAGUAUGAAUCAAAUCACUCAUCUCUUUUCUGCUUAUUGGCUAGAUCACAAAGACGGUUUUACCGACUCUGACUUUUUAUGUCACUGGCCAUGUGGAAUCCUUACAUGCUGCUAGGUCCCCUGUUCUCAUAUUUCAUAGAAGUUCAAAGUAAGAUGAUAUAUCGCAAUUUGCAUUUAUCCUAGAGUUUGUAUAGGUGUUGCAUUUUAGUCUACUAUUCGGGAACAUAUGUAACACAUGGUACAAGGUUAAAAUGAGGAAAAUAAAAUGAAAAAAUGUAGUUUUUUGUUGUUGCUUUUGUUUUUUGUGUGUGUGUGCUUGUGCUUCAAUAA